GGAUGAACGUUGGCGGCGUGCCUAAUACAUGCAAGUCGAACGAAGACUGUAGUAAUACUGUCUUAGUGGCGAACGGGUGAGUAACGCGUGGGUGACCUGCCCCGAAGUGUGGGAUAACAGUCCGAAAGGAUUGCUAAUACUGCAUAAUAUCCAAGAGAUUAGAUGCUUUUGGAUUAAAGGAGUAAUUCGCUUCGGGAGGGGCCCGCGUCCCAUCAGCUAGUUGGUAAGGUAAUGGCUUACCAAGGCGAUGACGGGUAGGGGACCUGAGAGGGUGGCCCCCCACAAUGGAACUGAAACACGGUCCAUACACCUACGGGUGGCAGCAGUAGGGAAUAUUAGUAAUGGGCGAAAGCCUGAACUAGCAACGCCGCGUGUGCGAAGAAGGCCUUCGGGUCGUAAAGCACUUUUUGAGAGGAUGAGGAAGGACGGUACUCUCAGAAUAAGUCUCGGCUAACUACGUGCCAGCAGCCGCGGUAACACGUAGGAGGCAAACGUUAUCCGGAUUUACUGGGCGUAAAGCGCGUGUAGGUGGUUUGGUAAGUAGGGCGUGAAAGCUCCUGGCUCAACUGGGAGAGGACGUUCUAAACUGCCAAGCUUGAGGAUGGUAGAGGGAGGUGGAAUUCCGGGUGUAGCGGUGGAAUGCGCAGAUAUCCGGAGGAACACCAGUGGCGAAGGCGGCUUACUGGACUGUAACUGACGCUGAGACACGAAAGCGUGGGUAGCAAACAGGAUUAGAUACCCUGGUAGUCCACGCUGUAAACGAUGAGUGCUAGGUGUUGGGUAGCGAUAUUCAGUGCCGGAGUAAACACAAUAAGCACUCCGCCUGGGGAGUACGUACGCAAGUAUGAAACUCAAAGGAAUUGACGGGGACCCGCACAAGCAGCGGAGCAUGUGGUUUAAUUCGAAGCAACGCGAAGAACCUUACCAAGGCUUGACAUCCCCUUGACCAGUGCAGAGAUGUACUCUCUUCUUCGGAAGCAAGGGAGACAGGUGGUGCAUGGUUGUCGUCAGCUCGUGUCGUGAGAUGUUGGGUUAAGUCCCGCAACGAGCGCAACCCUUAUCCUUAGUUGCCAGCAUAUAAGGUGGGCACUCUAAGGAGACUGCCGGUGAUAAACCGGAGGAAGGUGGGGAUGACGUCAAAUCAUCAUGCCCCUUAUGUCUUGGGCUACACACGUGCUACAAUGGUCGGUACAACGGGGAGCGAAGGAGUGAUCCGGAGCAAAUCCCAAUAAACCGAUCCCAGUUCGGAUUGCAGGCUGCAACUCGCCUGCAUGAAGUCGGAGUUGCUAGUAAUCGCGAAUCAGCACGUCGCGGUGAAUGCGUUCCCGGGUCU
rnacentral:rRNA from 1 species